GCCAUAUCUAUCCCUUUCUUUUGUUUAUUGUUCUUGUUUUAUUCAUAUCAUAAACCUCAUAUCAUUUAAUUCCAUUUGUUUCAGGUUAUCAAGUCAUAAUCCAGCCAUAUCGACCAAUCGGCCACAUCUUUGGUCGAUCCGAUUUAAACCUUGGUUCCACCAUUCAACCAAUUCGUGGGGUACCCUUCCUGUGCCUACAACAGUUUCGGUUCGGUUAUUUUGGAUAUAAAAAUAAAGAAAACAUUCGGGUAUUUGAAGAUUUCGGUCCGGUAUUGGGUAUUUCGUUUCGGAUCUUCAGUUCCGUUUUUUUUUUUGCGCAGGCCUAAAGUUGUGGUAAAGUGAUCUUGGUCCGUCUCUUCUUCGUCCCAGUUUCUCUUUUCCCUUUCACGGUGGUGAUAGUGGCUUUUGUUUUCUGGUGGUCGUGUGGUUGUUAGUGAGUUUUCUUGUUUGGUCGAGUUAAAUUUUUUGUGGAUUGGUUUUUAAUAUUUAAAGCUUUUGUAUUUUUUUUAUCUUUUUAUCUUUUUUAUUUCUGAUUUUUAUUGUAACAAAAAUUCCAAAAAUUUAAUUAGGAAAGCUUUUUAUUUUAAAAACUAAGCAACCCAAUUCUGAAUAGUGAACCGAAAUAACCCAACAUAAUUAAUGAUCUUAUUGUUUACAUCUGGUUUUUAUUCUUGAUAAACCGGAUAAUUUAAAAGCCUAACCUAAAACCGGACUAGACAACCUUAGGUUUCUGAAGAAAUGUCUUCAAG
rnacentral:lncRNA from 1 species